rnacentral:lncRNA from 1 species
AAUUUGUUGAAUAAAUAAGUGAAUGAAGGAAGGAAGUCAGGAACAAAGGAAAGAAGAAAUACAAAUGGCCAGGUGAACUGUAGGUCUUUGAGAACUACUAAUCAACUCUAUCUAGUGAAAUUUCCUUUACAUUCUCUCUUCCCCCUUCUUCAGACUGUUGCCAAUAAAUAUGUUAAAAAAUAAGAUAACUUGAUUAUAGAAGUAAGUAUCAAAGAUUUUCCUAUGGUUUCUCAUUACUAAAAUCAGAGUUUUUAGAAUGGCUUCCAGGAUAAGAACACAAUGAAAAAGCUGUGAAAUUACAAAGUCUUGAAAUAUUGGAGAAAACAAACAACAAAAUACCUUUUUCUAAAAAACAAAAGGUGGUUGCCAUUAAGAGAUAACUGGGGAAGAAAAUAACUGUUAAUGGCUCAAUUCUCUAGCUCUAAAAGCAGAGUAGACAGAGUCCUAAACUCAUGGCAGAAGAGGAAAAUGGGUCUCUUUCCACUCUUGCAAAUUAGAAGCUUAGAUUUUCCACAUAGAAAAUAAAUGUACUGGAGGUUAAGUCGUCUUUUUGUAAUCUGACCUAUGUACUUCAUCACCAGGUAUAAUGAUGCUCUUAAGGAAAAUGUCUUACAAUUAUUAAAUAGCCUGCUUACCAUGACAUUUCAGAAGACUUCAGGCCCAAUUGAAACUUCCACUUUUCCAUUCUUUGUGACUCUGUUGUCUGACAGUCAAAGGUCCCAUCAUCCACGCUGUAAGGAUAAAGAACUUCCUAAGGCUGAGCCUAAACACAGUGAUUUUUUUGCAGAAGUACUUAGCAACAAUUAAGAAGACUUGCAUCUUCUACAUCCCAGAAAUUAUCCACUGGAGAAGAGAGGAGAGCGCUUGGCACCCAUUAUGGGUUAAAUUGUGUCCCUGCAAAAUUCGUAUGCUGUAGCCCUAAUUCCCAUUGUUACUGUAUUUGGAGGUGGGUCCUUUAGAAAAUAAAUAAAGUUAAAUUAGGUUGUAAGGACGGAGC